UUCUGUGGAGAGGGGGCAGGCUUCCAACACGCAAGCGCAUUAGGGAGUUUCUGAGCGUGCUAAGCAAGACGAAGCAGCGAAGAACUACACUUCCCAAUGUUCUGAAGCAACGGACGUGACUUCGAGCCAAUCGAGUUGGAGAGUUCGGGAUCGGGGCCUUCCGGCAUGGGGACCAAUGCUCCCGGCUUCCCGAAACAAACUUUCAGGCUGGUGAGACUUGGCACGGAGCCUGGAGGGUUAAAGCCUCCCGGCUGUUCCCCUUCCGUUGUCCAUCAUCCCGAGGUCCCGCCUUUUCCGGAUAUCUUAGGCCCACCCCACUGCCCGGCUUUUUUCUUGUCGGACCUCUGCUAUUCCUCCCUCAACCUACACCCCUCGGUUGUCUCUCACUUCUAGGUCCUCCCUCUGCUGGUUUCCUUAGGGACAUGCAUCGCUGAUGCAUUCAAGAUGCUUAGGCUUCUUCCCAGCAUCUUUGCACAUAGCCCUGCUCUUUCUGCUCAGGACCCUGCUCCUCUUAAUUCUAUUCAGACAAUAGUGCUGCUCAACCUGUACCGGAAUCCACAGAACACCGCCCAAACCGCAGACGGAUCGCACUGGAGGGACCAUUUCUUGGGGGCAGGACGGACUGCCCUCUGCAGGCCACUUCCUGAUUCCACUCUACCUACCCCCUCCAGGUCACGUGCGUGAGGUAGAGGUACAAGAACACUAUGAUAGCGUAUUUGAGGUGAGGAUUGGCAGAGAUGGGUUGAGUUGUGGGCCAGGAGUUCAGCUGAACACCUCCUGGUCUCCACAGGAGGUGAUCAUGGAACUGCAGGAGAAGUACGGGGAGAUUGAAGAGAUGAAUGUGUGUAACAACUUGGGGGACCACCUCGUGGGCAAUGUCUAUGUCAAUGUGCCUGCUUUCCUCCCAUUAGAGACCAGAGGUGGAGGCAUUUCAGUGCCUAAAGAUCACCACUUAAGCCUCAUAGUUUGAGGUCCAUCACUAAAUCCAGUCCAGCCCCAGAGCUGCUUACAAAUCCCCUGAAGGUUUCUGAGUUUGACUACCAAACUUGACCUACUUCCGGCAUGAAGAGGAUGCUGAGUGGGCAGUAGCUGAACUCAGUAACCGCUGGUUCAGUGGGCAGGCUCUGCAUGCUGAUCUGUCCCCUGUCACCGACUUCCGGAAGUCAUGCUGUCGGCAGUAUGAGAUGGGGUAUGGCAGUAAGGGGGUGGGAUGGGCACCUGGAGUUCCAGACCCCUGUGUGUGUAUUGGUGGGGCUGUCAAUGACAAUGUCCUCUUCCACCCAUCCAUCCUCAACCCAGAGAAUGUAUUCGUGGUAGCUUUUGCAACUUCAUGCACCUGUGACCCACCUCCCGGAACUUCUGGCAGCAGUUCUAUUGGUUGGAACCCAGGCUCAGGUAUCUCAGGACCAGCCUGCCAAGAGUUCUCAAACUCUAGAGCUCCUAUAACCUGAGAUGAACCUGAUUCUAUGUCUCAAUAACAAUAUCUC